rnacentral:rRNA from 1 species
GUAGGAACCUACCCCUUGGCGGGGAAUAACCAUUUGAAAGAAUGGCUAAUACCGCAUAAGAGUUUUAAAUGAAAGGACGUAACUGUCCACCGAGGGAGGGGCCUGCGGCCCAUCAGCUUGUUGGUGAGGUAAUGGCUCACCAAGGCUAUGACGGGUAGGGGACGUGAGAGCGUGUUCCCCAGAAUGGUACUGAGAACGGAC